UGGGGAAUUUUGGACAAUGGGGGAAACCCUGACCCAGCCAUCCCGCGUGUGCGAUGAAGGCCUUCGGGUUGUAAAGCACUUUUGGCAGGAAAGAAACGUCAUGGGUUAAUACCCCGUGAAACUGACGGUACCUGCAGAAUAAGCACCGGCUAACUACGUGCCAGCAGCCGCGGUAAUACGUAGGGUGCAAGCGUUAAUCGGAAUUACUGGGCGUAAAGCGUGCGCAGGCGGUUCGGAAAGAAAGAUGUGAAAUCCCAGGGCGCAACUUUGGAACUGCAUUUAUAACUACCGGGCUAGAGUGUGGCAGAGGGAGGUGGAAUUCCGCGUGUAGCAGUGAAAUGCGUAGAUAUGCGGAGGAACACCGGUGGCGAAGGCAGCCUCCUGGGAUAACACUGACGCUCAUGCACGAAAGCGUGGGGAGCAAACAGG
rnacentral:rRNA from 1 species